rnacentral:rRNA from 1 species
AUUGAACGCUGGCGGCAGGCCUAACACAUGCAAGUCGAGCGAGCGGCGGACGGGUGAGUAAUGUCUGGGAAACUGCCUGAUGGAGGGGGAUAACUACUGGAAACGGUAGCUAAUACCGCAUACCAUCAGAUGUGCCCCGAUGGGAAUAGCUGGUAGGUGGGGUAACGGCUCACCUAGGCGACGAUCCCUAGCUGGUCUGACAGGAUGACCAGCCAAACUGGAACUGAGACACGGUCCAGACUCUGACGUGAGGCAGCAGUGGGGAAUAUUGGACAAGGGGCGCAAGCCUGAUGCAGCCAUGCCGAGUGUGCGAAGAAGGCCUGCGGGUUGUAAAGCACUGUCAGCGGGGAGGCGUUACCCGCAGAAGAAGCACCGGCUAACUCCGUGCCAGCAGCCGCGGUAAUAC